rnacentral:rRNA from 1 species
UGGCGAACGGGUGAGUAACACGUGGGUGAUCUGCCCUGCACUCUGGGAUAAGCCUGGGGAACUGGGUCUAAUACCGGAUAGGACCAUGCUUUAGUGUGUGUGGUGGAAAGUUUUUUCGGUGUAGGAUGAGCCCGCGGCCUAUCAGCUUGUUGGUGGGGUAAUGGCCUACCAAGGCGGCGACGGGUAGCCGGACUGAGAGGUUGGUCGGCCACAUUGGGACUGAGAUACGGCCCAG